AAAAUGGGUGGUAUUAAGUUUGGACCAUAAAACAGUUUAGCAGUAACCUUUUAAUUUAGGAAAAGAUCUGAAAAUUGAAAAAGGAGCAAGUAGCUUUUAAUGUUUUCAAUAAGUUUAUCGGACGUAUAUUUAAGAAGUAAAAGCCCAGAAUGAAAAUGGUUUUGCUACUAAUUGAAUGUUAUUCCUGUUAGCUGCUUCUUAUUUAUUGACCUACCGAUUACACGCAAAUGUUACUGAUAGAGCAGUACGCAAGAUAUUUAGUACACUCAUGGGUGCAUUGAUAUCAAUCCAGGUCUAGUACCUACACCCCAUUGCACUUCAUUGAGCCAUUUUAUCGAUCCGUAAUUCCAUUGGCUUGCCAUAUUCCUUAUCAGCAUACCAGUUUGCUGCCAUAAAUUGACAAGCCAUAGGUGGGUAUAUAGUCGGAAAUGUUUCGGUCUGAUUAAGACCUCAACUGUGUGAUUUGAUUAGAUUUCUUGUUCCUGGCCAGAGCCAAAGAAAAACAAGUGCUCCGCAACGUGGUCAGGAGUGCACCCUCGGCAAUAUGGCAUUUCAAUCAUUUCCAUUGUCCAGUUCCCAGUUAGGAGUGCAUUUAAUACCGGCUAUUAUGGAGCCAGUACGUCUCUGCAAGGACUGCUCAACAACAGCUUGUGCUUGUUACAUAUUUCGCAGGACAUAUUGCACACAAGUUUUCCUGUUGUGCUGAGAGGAAACCCUUUCAGAAUUUGAUUCGUUGUGUGUGUCUACAAGUUGCCAAACAAAUAAAAAUGACUUGAUUCAAUUGAAUUUGUGCAACGCAACGAUAUGAAAUGGGGACGACAACAGUGACGAGUGGGAAUAUUGUGACAUAUAUGGGUUUACUUGUGUGUCCGUGGGCGGUGGUCUUCCCUGGGUCCCCUGCGUGUGGUCACCAAACAGUGCACGAUUUUUCAUAUUUUUUCAAUUACGCACAAGAGUUUCAACUUGACAUUCGACCGCAAUAAUCCCCGGAGAUUUUGUGGCAGGCAUGGAAACAGUUGCUUUCAAAAAUUUGCAAUUCGAAUUAUUGAUAAUCUGUCAAAGGCUUAUGGUACAAGUUGAGUAAGUCAAUAUGUGUGCUGAAAUAACCGAUUGAUGGCCACUAUUUUAAAAACAAUUAAUUCAAAUUUAAGUAAUAAUUCUUUAAUUCUGAUAGUUGUAAGAAUUGAAUCUAUCAAUUUAAUUAAGCUUCGAUUAAGAUUGUCAUUACUAGAAGCUGCUGCCUGAUCAAGUAUGUCCCUUUAUAGGUUUGGAAACGAUUAUUUCCAGCCUAUUAAAUACUUUUUAAACAAAUCAGGUACAUCUUUUUACUCUCCAAUUGCCGGGUAUAAAUAAUGUAAGAUAUCAAACUUAAAACAACAAUUUUUCGAUAGGUUCUGGACGGAGAAGCUGUUAAAGACUACCCCUAGUCACCAUUUCAAGAGUACAAUUUGUUGUCCCUAUUUUUCGACUUCUCGACUUUUUCUAGCUGUGCUUAACGGCGGUAUUUAAGGGGUUAAGUUGUUAGCAAGCUUCUAUGAAUUGAUGUCAUCUGCGCGGCAGCUGUCCCAUUAAUAUGUAAAUGGCGCACAUAAGUAUGCUACGGAAAACACGAUAAAUCUUUAAAAUCAAAGGCACGACGAUGAAGCAAACGAAAAGACUUUUCUGAAUCUAGAAAGGGGCGAGACGAGGGCGGGAAAAGUAGAUGGUGGGGGUGGCACAAACUUGGCAAAUUCAAAGUGAAAGUCGAGCGUCUACUGUGAAUAGAAACGGAGGCUGCGAGAGCGUUUUCUUUGCUAUUUGUGUGCAGCGAGGCACUUGUACACACAUAUAUGUAUGUAUGCAAGCAAUUGACGCCUCCCUUUGGCCAUGCCCCCGGCCAUAUCUCGUUUAAACGGUUUUUGGCACCGACUGAGUGAGUGAGUGCAUGUAUGAGUGCAUUUGAGUGCACUCUGCCAAUAAUGCGCACAAUUUAAGUUUCGGCAAACACGCCCAGGCACUGGCAUUAGGCAAGAAAUUUGAAGAGAGCUCCUCAAUUGAAGGGAAAAUUUUGUGAAAACUUGCCAACUUCUCGGUCCCAUAACUCAUUAUUCAAAAGACACAAAAGUGGAAUCGAAAAGAGGCGACGAGAUUCGAGAUAUUUCAACGCUCAUAAAACUUCAGCAUGAGCGCAGAAAAGCAUUCAUUAUGCACAAACGUACACUUAUACUCGGUUGAACACUUUAUGAAAUUAUAAUGUAUAACAAUAUUCAAUACCAUGAUUUGGUAAAUAACUAAAAGACAUUUUAAAGGAAGUCACCAUAUUAUAAUAAACUAUAACAAACCAAGUAUGUAUAUAUAUCGAUGCGUUUGUAGAUUACCGUAUAAAGACAUAUAAAAUGACUCCACAAUAAGUUAGAAGCGUUAGGUGUCAAAAGAGCAGUUUCAGUUCAGACACUCUUCUCUGAGUGUACUCAUAUUCAUACUCAGAAAUGGAUGUGAGAGGGCGACAGGUAACUCCCAUUCAUUUCCUGGUUCGAGCUCAUGAAUAAAUGAAUUUAUAUCGACUCUUCUUGGCAUUUGCACUGCUCCGCUUAUCCAAAGGGAAAAUCCGUGGACUUGGGUAACAAGGGGUUGAGGGGUCCGGAUAUGCCCAUAUGCUCUGGCUAGACAGUGGGGGUGGCAGCGAGGGGCGGUGGACAGUGGGCGGUGGGCUGACGACCCCAAUCCCAAUGCACCAACCGAAUGCAAUCGAAAUUGGACUUGAGCCGUUUGAAGUGUUUUCGUAAAUCAAUUUCAGAUCCAUUAAGCUGCAAGAUGUGCAUAUAAUACACGAAUGGUUGCGGAUAGGAACGUGUGGAUUGGAGUAAAAAUAUGAUGUACUAGUAAUGUGCUUUUUACAUACAUAUGUACACAUUUUGUUUUAUAUAUAUUUAAUUAUGUGGUUGGAAAACUAUAAUAACUACUUUAGGAAAAUAUUUUACGUUGCUCUUACCCCAGUAUUAAGAUACAGUCAGCUUUGAUGCGUCUCCCUAUGUAUGCAAAAUAAUUAUAGCUUUUAAAUAGCUUUCAGUUGAAGUUUGAGUUCUGUGUCAGACAUCUCUUAUUCAGAAGUAUUUUUCCCGACGUCUAUAUGUAUUUUCCUACUCAAUCUCUAUCGCACCGCACCCGUCUCUUUCGCUCACUAGGGUCAAUGUGUGUGGAUUGGGUUGAAAAGUGCAACUCGUCGCAAAUUGAAUUCAAAAAACUUUAUAAAGUUAAUUUAUGCACAAUAUCAAUAAAAAUGUCUGAGCGGGAGUCGCAGAUACUACAUUUGCACUCCCCAUUCAAUGGAGUGCCAUAGAUAUAGAGCGGCGAAUGUAAAUGGCGAACGAUUUUUUGUGCCAACGCUGGCAAUUUUUUCUGAUAUGAAAAUCAGCAAAUUUUUCUUUGAUUUGCCUUUGCUCCUUGGGUCGUCAAGGAUCCGCAGGAUAACCCAGCCAAAUCUCCGUUCCCCACUGCUCAUUUGGGCAACUGUUGCCAGGAUUGCCUUGACUUUCAAAUUAAAAAAUAAAAUCCGAGCGAAGCAAAUCCUCAGCGGAAGCGAAAAAAUGUUUUCCUCCGACUUUUCCGCUCAUCGAUUUGGUGCUGCAAUUUGUUGCUGUCAUAAAAAUUGUGUAAUGUGCUUAAUGAAAUUUUUUUAAUAACACAAUUUGAGGGCACGUGAGUUUAGCGGCGCAAAAUGUGUUGUACAACAAAGGCAAACUGUUGCACAUCAAACGAUGGAUGUCAAUGUGCUACACAUUACACGGCCACAAAAUAUAUGCAAAAAGUACAAAAAACACAAGCCAGACGUCGGCAUUUCAAUAAACCAAAGUUACGCAACAACGAGGGUCCUGCAUGCACUUCCUCAUUGCUUAUAUUCGCAUUUAAAACACUUUUUUACGCGACCAAAGCAAUCGCACAAGUAUGCCAAGCAUUUAAUGGCAGGCCCAGACGGGAAAACGGAUGCAAGCAAAACACUUAAUACAUUUUAUAUAUUUUAUGCUGCCAGGAAGUCGGCGCAAAGAUCACACAGCAUUUGCUGUUUGUUUGCCGGCUAAGUCACUUGCUAAAUUCAAAGCAAACAAGAAUUAUAAACGAUGAAUUUAAUUUGGAGCUCGUUUUCUAUUUGCUGUUCGCCUUUGACCUGACGCCUUGAAAAUUGUCAGGUUAAUAAAUUUCUAUAAAAUUAAAAUUUUUAAUGACUUCCCGAAAAAUGUAAGCCGCUUAUUUCUCGCUACCAAAAUGUGAUUUUGAUUUUGAAAAUAACCUGAAACGAAUGUGUACUUCACCCUAUUUUGACU